AACGAACGCUGGCGGCAUGCCUAACACAUGCAAGUCGAACGAUCCCUUCGGGGAUAGUGGCGCACGGGUGCGUAACGCGUGGGAACCUGCCCUUAGGUUCGGAAUAACUCAGAGAAAUUUGAGCUAAUACCGGAUAAUGUCUUCGGACCAAAGAUUUAUCGCCUUUGGAUGGGCCCGCGUUGGGUUAGCUAGUUGGUGGGGUAAAGGCCUACCAAGGCGACGAUCCAUAGCUGGUCUGAGAGGAUGAUCAGCCACACUGGGACUGAGACACGGCCCAGACUCCUACGGGAGGCAGCAGUGGGGAAUAUUGGACAAUGGGCGAAAGCCUGAUCCAGCAAUGCCGCGUGAGUGAUGAAGGCCUUAGGGUUGUAAAGCUCUUUUACCCGGGAUGAUAAUGACAGUACCGGGAGAAUAAGCCCCGGCUAACUCCGUG
rnacentral:rRNA from 1 species